CUAACCGUGCAAAGGUAGCAUAAUCACUUGUUCUUUAAAUGAGGACCAGAAUCAACGGCAUCACGAGGAUCCCACUGUCUCCCCCCUCUAAUCAGUGAAACUAAUCUCCCCGUGAAGAAGCGGGGAUAUAAAUAUAAGACGAGAAGACCCCAUGGAGCUUUAAACCCAACAACACCCAUUUAUUUUUUAUCCUUACAUCAACCAAGGAGUGUCUGUUUGGUUUUAGGUUGGGGUGACCACGGAGUAUAAAACAACCUCCAUGAAGAAAGGACUAAAAAUCCUUAUUAGAGAAAUACACUUCCAAAAAUUAACAAAUUAACUUUUAAUGAUCCGAUAUUUGAUCAACGAACCAAGUUACCCUGGGGAUAACAGCGCAAUCCACCUCAAGAGCUCAUAUCGACAAGUGGGUUUACGACCUCGAUGUUGGAUCAGGGUAUCCUAGUGGUGCAGCAGCUACUGAUGGUUCGUUUGUUCAACGAUUAAAACCCUACGUGAUCU
rnacentral:rRNA from 1 species